UGCGCCUACGGGAGGCAGCAGUGGGGGAUAUUGCACAAUGGGGGAAACCCUGAUGCAGCGACGCCGCGUGAGUGAAGAAGUAUUUCGGUACGUAAAGCUCUAUCAGCAGGGAAGAAUAAUGACGGUACCUGACUAAGAAGCCCCGGCUAACUACGUGCCAGCAGCCGCGGUAAUACGUAGGGGGCAAGCGUUAUCCGGAUUUACUGGGUGUAAAGGGAGCGUAGGCGGCCUGGCAAGCCUGAUGUGAAAUACCGGGGCCCAACCCCGGGGCUGCAUUGGGAACUGCCAGGCUGGAGUGCCGGAGG
rnacentral:rRNA from 1 species